rnacentral:rRNA from 1 species
AUGCGGUCCUCCUCCACCUCCGUUCCAUGGCGUUGCGGCCCCGUCGUUUUCCCUGCCUCUCUUUUGCGCCAGGGACUUAAGCCCUCCGCCGCGUGGCGCCGCCUUGCUGCCUUCCCCGCCGUCGGCUUGCUACCUUCGCCGGACCUCCUCCGCCUCCAAGGUCGCCGCUGCUCUGGCCUCAACCACCUCCGGUCUUCAACCCCGACGCCCGACCCGGCCAUCUUCGGUUACUGCCUCGCUGGCUUCGUCGCUCCUCUUGUCACUGCCAAGACGCGACAACCAGGGAAGCCCAAGGCCGCCUUCGUGGUUUUCGUCAAGUUCGAGCGCCGUUGA